rnacentral:misc_RNA from 1 species
CAAGCUGGGCGGGAAAGCAACGCUUGAUGGUCGACUGCGAAAAUGGAGGUAUACGUUCUAAUACAGAAGUAUUUCCUCAUUUAUUACUGUCGUGUAACGAAGUGAAGAUUGACUGUCGGAACUAGACAUGUUCGGCAGAAGUUGGGUAUUCUUAAGUGAUGCCUGUAACAAGGCGAGUGAGAGGAAGGCGCUGGAGAAAAUCGACAGAACUUGUUCAAACCAACAGGUUUGACAGCUGGAGUUACCCGUGGCUUGUUGAAAUCUUGAAAGAAAAAGAUGUGGACUGUAAUAUUCAAGAUUGUGUAACAUCGGUCAAGUUGGCAGGACAUAAGAGACACUUGAAUAAGAAGUCACUGCAGAAGCAGAAGCAGAUGCUCAAAGAAAAAGAAGAAGGGACAAUUCUACAUCAAAACAGCAAACAAGAAAACAUGUGUUUUUCUGAGAAACUUAUAACAAGUGUAGAUAAGAUACAAGUAGCAGAAAAACACUCCCUUAUCAAAGAAACUGUUUUCAAUGAUGGUAUUCAAACCUCUGAUCCAGCAAGUGCGUUGUUUUCACCUGUGUAUCAUCUUCUUCAAGACUGUGAUGGGGACCUGGAGAAACCCAACAUUACUUCAUUAGGAGCAACAGCAAUAUCUAUUGAUAUGGAGGGGGUAUCUGGUGGAUCCCUGCAUCCCCCUACUUCAGCUGUACUGGAAAUGCCUUGUGAAAUACCUGGAACUCAAGGGGUAUUUUCAGCCAGGGCUUGUCAUUCUGAAACGACACAGUACGAUAUUCAGGUGUCAGUGUAUAAUGCUAGUUACCCCUCACCUCAAGAAGCUGAAGUAGCCGAAGAAUGGGAGACUUUUAAUCCAUAUUACUUUAUCAAACAUCUGCCCCCACUUACUCCAGAAAUGCUUGCCCGAUGCCCAGCCCUUCCACUGAAAACUAGAAGUAGCCCCGAAUUUUCCCUAGUGUUAGACUUGGAUGAAACUUUGGUCCACUGUAGUCUGACAGAACUUGAAGAUGCCACUUUCACCUUUCCUGUCACGUUUCAGGAGGUGGAGUAUAAGGUUUACGUUCGCACCAGACCAUUUUUUAGAGAGUUUUUAGAGCGUGUUUCCAAGAUUUUUGAGGUUAUCCUCUUCACAGCAUCUAAAAAAGUGUAUGCCGAUAAAUUGUUAAAUUUGCUAGACCCUGGCAGAAAAUUAAUAAAGUUUAGACUCUUCAGGGAGCAUUGCGUCUGUAUCAGUGGAAACUACAUCAAAGAUCUGAGCAUUCUGGGGCGUGAUCUCUCUAAAACUGUUAUUGUGGAUAACUCACCACAAGCUUUUGGUUAUCAGCUUGAAAAUGGAAUCCCCAUUGAAAGUUGGUUUGUUGACAGAAAUGACAAAGAGUUGUUGAAGUUGAUACCCUUUCUUGAAAGCCUUGUUGCUAUGAAUCAAGAUGUUCGGCCACACAUCUGCAACAAGUACCAUUUAGCUAGUUUUCUUCCACCCGAUUAACCCAUCCUUCAACGGAAUCCUGCCGUACAUUGAGGAACAUCAUCACGCUGCUUUGGAAUCGCUCUUCUUUGUUUUGUUAUUUUAGUAGGUAAAAACAAACAAAAAAAAAGAAUUUUUAGUGUAAGUUUGCUUUCUGUCGAGGUACUGUUAAAGGUCUUAGCUUUUUUUUUUUCUAUAUAUGUUUAAAUAUAUAUAUAUAUACAUUUAGGAUGGCCUUAAGUUUAUUUGACACUGUUUCAAUUGCAUCUUCUUUCAUACAAGAAGAAAAAAAUUUUAGUUAAAUAUAAUUUUUAACUUUGUAGCAGAAAUGUUGAUUAGUAAGUGCGUAGUUAUGUUCGAUCAUUUGACCGUAGCAAAAAGAUGAAACCGUUUUUGUAACAAUCUUGGACCAUAUCUUUGUGAUAAGUCUUUCGUCAUACAAGAUAUAGAGGAAGCAAGAGUUACUUUUGAAUUACAUUGUAUAUAUAUAUAUAUAUAUAUAUAUAGGUAGCUUUUUUAGGUUUUACUCAUUUGUUUUAACCUAAGACAUUGUUUGUUAGAUGUGUAAUUCCCAUGUUAAAAUCAUGUUUUACAAAACCAAAUAUCAUAUUGUUACCCUUGAAUCUUUAGUUUCUGAAAAACAAAAUUACUUGAUUUCUUCAAACAAAUAUAAUGAACAUGUAUAUAACUUUUUAAACAUUUUUCAUCUAAGUAAAUUAAUAUUACGACACAUUUUUUGUAACAGUUCUCGGUCUUAACUCCUUACUGUCUCUGCUCUAAGUUUUUGAACAUAGACUCAUAAAAUAGAACUAAGUCCAUUUAUUCAAGAUAGAAAUUAAUAUUGGGGGAAGUAUUCUUCAGUAGAGAGAGAGAGUGUAUAACUGCUUUAUUUUUUCCCACAGAACUAUCAGUUUUAUAAUAUAGAUAUUUAAAAUACCGACGGAACGUGAAGUGUCUUUAAGUUGAAACUAAUUCAGAUGCACCAUUUUAAGGAUAUACUAAACCAGUUAAAAUAAGAUGAAAAUGAAAAAAAAAUGUCAUCUUCAUCUACCAGGUGAAACAUUUUUUUAUAGCUAGCUGUAACUUUAACCCUUUUUAUAAUAUUUUAAAAGUAGAUUUCUGUUUUUAAUGUGAUUUUACCAGCUCUUCUCUUGACAAAGAGAAGGAUGUAUAAUGAUUUCACAGUUGUGCUCCUCCAACCGAGUUUUAACAUGCAUUUGGUCAAAUAAACACUCUAAGUAAAAAACAUUAAGUUGCAUUUCAGUAUACCACUUCUGAAAUAUUUAGGACUCAAAAUUGUAAUAUAAUGCAAUUUUUUAGGUUUUUAAUUUACUAUGUAAAUUGCAUUUGCUUUCCCCCCCUUUUUUUUUCAAUAGUUUGAUAUAUUUUACACUUUUUUGAAACUGACAAUCCAACCAAGGCUUCUUGAAUUGUUAUGAGACAGGCUGUAAUGACUCUUACCAGCUUGUGUUACUGUGUGUGUGUAUAUAUGUAUGUGUAUUUUAAUCUUUAUUUUCCACAUUCUGUUAUUGUGCAGUGAUAGAUUCUUGAAUUCUCCACCUUGUGGUCUGAUACGUAGUUAAGGCAAACCAUUUUCUAAAUACGUGAAAAUUAUUCAUGAAUAUUUUGUUUUAUUUUUUUCCCAAAGAAAUUAUUGUUAAUAUUACAUUUCUGUGUAUGUAGAAAUUUUAUUAAAAGUUUAUUUUGAAAAAAAAAUAACAUACAUAAAUGUUUAGCAACUUAUCCAGUAAUGCUCGCCACAUUUUGUUUGUCACGACAUCUCACUAUUAUCAGUUGUAUUGAUAUAUAAAAUGUGGAAAAUUGGUUUGUUUAUAAUAAUAUUCCUAUGGUAUCAUCAUCAUUGACUUCAUUGUAAAAUAGAUAAGAGGAUUUGAUUGGUAUUACUAAGACAUCAUGCGUGUCAAAUCAGGCUUUCUAGCAGCUGUACCAGAAACUCUGAGGAAUAAUUAGCUUCGUCGUGUAAAAACUUCUUGCAAGUGGAUCGUAUACCAGUAUCUAGAGACACAAACUUAAUGUGAUUCCAAACAAAUGGAAGUAACAUACCUAAUAGAUGAGCAUUGUUACCGUUACGUGACGUUACUCACAAGUCAGAUCGUUCAAGCUGCUGCGCGAUACCCAUUCCAGUGUUUAUUUGGUGCCUAAAAGAAUUUAAAACUUUUUUUUUUUUUUUGGCAACCAUCAUUGUUCAACCUGGAAUACCAUGCUGCCACAAUGCAGGCUUUGAAAUUAAUAUUAUAGUAAACUGUUUAGGUACACGAAGAAGAGUGUAACAUCUAGAAAUAUUCUUUCAUAAUACUGUAGUAAUUUUCGUACUAACUUCUGAACUAGAAGCAAGGAAAAUUCUACAAUUAAUUAUAAGCAACACAAUAUUAAGAACAAAUCCACAUCUGCCCCCCCCCCUUAGUUAUGCUAAUUGAUUACUAAUAUAUCAAUAGUGUAUAUUCUAAGUGUCAAAAUACACUUCUCAUCAACGUGUAGAAUUAUGGUUUUAAUACACCAGUGUUUAGUAAUCCACUGUUACUGGCUUAAUAAAUGAUGUCUUAGUCUUCAAAUACAAUAUUACUUUGUAACAGGUGCAGUGAAUUGAUAAAUGCAUUUCUAUAUUAACCUCUUCAAAUUGAUGCACUUGGCUUGGACUGCAGUACGUCAAAAUAUAGACGCACGAAAAUGAAGACUCGGAACUAACCAGUCUUUAAAUCUCAUGUUCUAAACAUUCAGCGUUUCUACUAAUAUGACCAUGUCAAUCAAACAAUUGACUACAAUGUCUACAAGAAGUAGUUACAGUGGCAGGAUAUGAAUGACAUUAUACAUAAAAUAAAUACAGGUAUUUGCAGUACUUGUUAAGUUUACUAUCACUGAUAACUGUAAACCAGUCUUUGACAAAAGUAUCAACAAAAUCAUGUCACAGAACCUGAAUACUGGUGAAAAGUCCUGGAAGUUUAUGGUAUAUAAUUCGUGACAUUUUUGAAAUUUGAAUAAAAUGUUAGGAAAAAUCCUGGAAUUUUUAGGUAUGCCAGAAAGCCUGAGAAAAAGAUAAACCAUUAAACAAAAAACUGGACUCAAUGAGUAAUCCCAGAAAGCAGUCAUUUCUUUUUCAGAGAUUAUUUGGGAGUUAAAUUUUUAAGAUUUUAAAUAUUCCAUUUUAUCAACAGAGAAAAACUUUUUGUAUUUGAAUUAUAAAUAUGUAUUAUCUUUUUUAAACUUUAUAUGGAGUGGAAAAUUAAAUAAUGUAUUGAUAUUAUCAGUACAAAAACCCUAACGAACAAAACGUACAGUAAGGCUACGAAGAUGAAAAGAAACGAGUGAGACAAUGUACAAGUGGAAACAGAAAUCUUAGUAAAUUAUCAAGUUUUCCACUCGUUACAGUAAUAAUGAUUAUUUCUUACCUCUUUUUCUUCUAACUCCCACAAGAGUAAACUGGUCAACCCUAACUUGGGAUAAGGGUACCAAAAAACAGCAGUCAUGCCUUCCAUACACAAACUAUAAUAUCACUGGUCUCAAAAUUUCUGGAGUGAAGCCCCAUUUAAUAAAACAAAUGAUUAGAAUUUCAGUGUUAUAUACCAAAAUGUCUUACUUGUGUACAUGCAUUGUCUUGUUUGUUUUUUCACAUCCUUAAUGUACUUUUUUUUGUCCGUUAGUGUUUUUGUAUUGAUUGUUUAGAGGUUUUUAUUUUGUCAAGAAGCAUCCAAUAAUCUGCAGGUACAUCUAAUUACAAUUUUAAACAUAAGUAUCAUAAUGUACCAAAGGUAAAUUUAUUGACCACUGGUCAUGUGUGACCACUACUGGUUUUAGUGGGUCAAGUUUACUAAUUAUAACUGUGGUAUAAACCUAUAGUGGUAUACCUAGGAAUCUAUAAAGGGCCAUCUUUUCUCAUGUAUUGUUAAUAUUUGUUACUCAGGUUACACUAGGCUUCAACCAUAAUCAUUAGAUAAUGACAACAAAAGUUGACAUCAGGUUACUCUAGGCUUCAACCAUAAUCAUUAGAUAAUGACAACAAAAGUUGAAUCAGGUUACUCUAGGCUCCAACAAAAGUUGACAUCAGGUUACUCUAGGCUUCAACCAUAAUCAUUAGAUAAUGACAACUAAAGUUCCAAGUCAGUAAAAUUUCCAACCUCUCUACUAAUAGCAAUCGUGCAGUGACAUAUUCUAAAUAUCAAAGAGCACCUAACAGAUAAAACUGAUAUUUGUAUAUAUAUUAAAGUCAGUUAAAGCUGUAUGCUGAAACACCUUGUAUGAACAAGUAGAACUGUACAUAUAUAUACAAGUUCUCUUAUUAAUUAAAGCUUAAUAAUUAAUGCUAUUUUAUAAUAAACAUAUACAUGUAGGCUUUUAAGACAUGAAAGAAAAUAUUGUUCUGAAAGGUUUGUUUUUAACUGUGGAUAUUAUAUGUUAAAACACUCGGUUAUGGCCCACCUUAAUACACAGUACUGUGUCUUUUUGAUAGGAAACCAAUAAUUCAAGUAGUUAAUACAUUAUUAAUACAUAGUUUUAAUGGAGUUUUCUCAGCUAGUUUGAAAACUUUAUGGCUAUUAAUUUGAAGUACUGUUAUGUAAUUCAGUUUUGCAAACGUUUAUGUAUGUGAACAAGUUACCAUUUUAAAUCACCGUGCUUCAAUUUGGGAACAGAAGUGUUCAAUUGAUGGAAAUUUAAUGAUACUUUUUGUGGGAAAAGCUUAUAUAUAUAUAUUCUUAUUUUUUAUGUAGAAAUAUAGACUCGUUAUAUGGGAAAGGUAGAGCAUAGAGCAAUGUUUUUUUUGUAAACAGCAGAAGCAUAAAUGAAAUGUAUUCAAUUUGUUAUUUAAACGGUAACGGCAUGUUGGUUUACGGAUUUAGUAUUUUACACAUUUUAGAAUGUUAUUCGAUUUCAAACUGUACCGACUGUUUUAUAUUACGAGAUUAUUAAAGUUCCGGAACAUACAUCUAUCGAUAACUUGGAGUUUCUUACAUUUUAACACGCUUGGCCCGUUAGAAAUAUUGAAUAUGGACAAUUAUAUUUGUAAUCACUGUACAGGUUCCUUUGUCCGGUAAAAUCAACUACAUAUUCUUGCUAGAUCAAAGUUUGUCCAGAGAUCUCUCCGUUUUCUUUACCCAUCUUGUGUAUUUUAUGGCCAAAAUUAUUAUAGUGUAACCCUGACAUUCAUGUUACUUAUCAGGGUUCUCCCAUUAUUAAAUGUUCUGUUACUUUGUUUAUAUUACAAUUCUUGAAACUGACAAAGGAAGUGGUACUGUGAUAAUGAAUAGAAGAAAAAAAAAGUGUAUUUGUCAGCAGUUUAUUACUUUUUGUCGUAAAAAAGUGUUUUACAUCAUAAGACUGUUAAAAACAUUGUAUUCUCCCCAAUUUCAUAGGUAUUUUAGAAUAAGUAAAAAUCACAAGGUAAAAAUUAAUUUGAUAUAAAGCGAACUUGUAUUGAAUUUGUAGCUGUACUUUUGUUAGAAGUUUUCAACAAAUACUUCUCAGGCCAAAGUAUUUUUGCAGCGAGUGAUUGGGGUAAAUUAAUGACAUAUUUAAUAUUCCAAUGAUAUUUGGCAAGACAAAAAUUAUAGAUGUUUAUUUUUGGAACAUUGGCUACUUAUGUAUGUUGUUUUUGUCAUUACACAGUAAACUUUAUUGUACUGAUCUGUGUACACAAAAAUCAACAUAUUUAGAGAGGAAUAAAUGUUUGUUGGCACUUGUAA